rnacentral:rRNA from 1 species
CCUACGGGAGACAGCAGUGGGGAAUAUUGGACAAUGGGGGGAACCCUGAUCCAGCGACGCCGCGUGAGUGAUGAAGUAUUUCGGAAUGUAAAGCUCUAUCAGCAGGGAAGAAAGAAAUGACGGCACCUGACUAAGAAGCCCCGGCUAACUACGUGCCAGCAGCCGCGGUAAUACGUAGGGGGCACGCGUUAUCCGGAUUUACUGGGUGUAAAGGGAGCGUAGACGGCGAUGCAAGUCUGAAGUGAAAGCCGGGGGCCCAACCCCCGGACUGCUUUGGAAACUGGAUGGCUGGAGUGUAGGAGAGGUAAGUGGAAUUCCUAGUGUAGGAGUGAAAUGCGUAGAUAUUAGGAGGAACACCAGUGGCGAAGGCGGCUUACUGGACUGUAACUGACGUUGAGGCUCGAAAGCGUGGGGAGCAAACAGGAUUAGAUACCCCAGUAGUC